GCUCCAUGAUUCAUCGGCGGACGGGUGAGUAAUGCCUAGGAAUCUGCCUGGUAGUGGGGGACGACGUUUCGAAAGGAACGCUAAUACCGCAUACGUCCUACGGGAGAAAGCAGGGGACCUUCGGGCCUUGCGCUAUCAGAUGAGCCUAGGUCGGAUUAGCUAGUUGGUGGGGUAAUGGCUCACCAAGGCGACGAUCCGUAACUGGUCUGAGAGGAUGAUCAGUCACACUGGAACUGAGACACGGUCCAGACUCCUACGGGAGGCAGCAGUGGGGAAUAUUGGACAAUGGGCGAAAGCCUGAUCCAGCCAUGCCGCGUGUGUGAAGAAGGUCUUCGGAUUGUAAAGCACUUUAAGUUGGGAGGAAGGGCAUUAACCUAAUACGUUAGUGUUUUGACGUUACCGACAGAAUAAGCACCGGCUAACUCUGUGCCAGCAGCCGCGGUAAUACAGAGGGUGCAAGCGUUAAUCGGAAUUACUGGGCGUAAAGCGCGCGUAGGUGGUUUGUUAAGUUGGAUGUGAAA
rnacentral:rRNA from 1 species